rnacentral:rRNA from 1 species
AGUGAACGCUGGCGGUAGGCCUAACACAUGCAAGUCGAACGGCAGCACAGUAAGAGCUUGCUCUUACGGGUGGCGAGUGGCGGACGGGUGAGGAAUACAUCGGAAUCUACUUUUUCGUGGGGGAUAACGUAGGGAAACUUACGCUAAUACCGCAUACGACCUACGGGUGAAAGCAGGGGAUCUUCGGACCUUGCGCGAUUGAAUGAGCCGAUGUCGGAUUAGCUAGUUGGCGGGGUAAAGGCCCACCAAGGCGACGAUCCGUAGCUGGUCUGAGAGGAUGAUCACACACACUGGAACUGAGACACGGUCCAGACUCCUAAGGGAGGCAGCAGUGGGGAAUAUUGGACAAUGGGCGAAAGCCUGAUCCAGCCAUACCGCGUGGGUGAAGAAGGCCUUCGGGUUGUAAAGCCCUUUUGUUGGGAAAGAAAAGCAGCAGGUUAAUACCCCGCUGUUCUGACGGUACCCAAAGAAUAAGCACCGGCUAACUUCGUG